CAGUGCUUUGUAUACAAUACUGUUCUCGUUCAUAUAUGAUAUAUGCCCAUCAGCUCUCUCAUGAUACUUUUGUCUUUUCACCUGAGUCUUUUCACCUGAGUCUUUCACCAUGAGUCUUUUAACCUGAAAUUUAAUCAUACACAUAACAAAUCAAACAGCACCUAACAAAUGAUUUGUUUAGGUAGAAAGCAAUGCCAAAGCAAAAAAUUCAUUUAAAGGAAGAUGCUAUAAUUGUGGCCCCAAAGGCCACAAAAUGAAUGAAUGCGAGAAAAAGUUUAAUCGUAUGAGAAGAAGAAGACGUUGCUACAUAUGCAAAAGAUUGGGCCAUGUUGCCAAGCACUGUAAAGAAGCAAACCUACCAGUCAAAAACGUGCUGAACAAUUGCAGCAACUGUACAAUAAACCUUACGAGAAAAUAAAUUUUAAAUAUUUGUUAU